CCUACGGGUGGCAGCAGUGAGGAAUAUUGGUCAAUGGACGAAAGUCUGAACCAGCCAUGUAGCGUGAAGGAAGACUGCCCUAUGGGUUGUAAACUUCUUUUAUAAAGGGGUAAAACGAGGCACGUGUGCCUGUUUGAAUGUACUUUAUGAAUAAGGAUCGGCUAACUCCGUGCCAGCAGCCGCGGUAAUACGGAGGAUCCGAGCGUUAUCCGGAUUUAUUGGGUUUAAAGGGAGCGUAGGUGGGUUGUUAAGUCAGAUGUGAAAGCUAGCGGCUCAACCGUAAAAGUGCAUUUGAGACUGGCAGUCUUGAGUACAGUUGAGGUAGGCGGAAUUCGUGGUGUAGCGGUGAAAUGCUUAGAUAUCACGAAGAACCCCGAUUGCGAAGGCAGCUUACUAAACUGUGACUGACAUUGAGGCUCGAAAGCGUGGGUAUCAAACAGGAUUAGAUACCCUAGUAGUC
rnacentral:rRNA from 1 species